rnacentral:rRNA from 1 species
CCUACGGGUGGCAGCAGUGGAGAAUAUUGCACAAUGGGGGAAACCCUGAUGCAGCGACGCCGCGUGAGUGAAGGAGUAUUUCGGUAUUUAAAGCUCUAUCAGCAGGGAAGAAAAUGACGGUACCUGAUUAAGAAGCCCCGGCUAACUACGGGCCAGCAGCCGCGGUAAUACGUAGGGGGCAAGCGUUAUCCGGAUUUACUGGGUGUAAAGGGAGCGUAGACGGCAGCACAAGUCUGGAGUGAAAUGUGGGGGCUUAACCCCCGAACGGCAUUGGAAACUGUGAGGCUAGAGUGCAGGAGAGGGAAGUGGAAUUCGUAGUGUAGCGGUGAAAUGCGUAGAUAUUAGGAGGAACACCAGUGGCGAAGGCGGCUUACUGGACUGUAACUGACGUUGAGGCACGAAAGCGUGGGGAGCAAACAGGAUUAGAUACCCUUGUAGUC